rnacentral:lncRNA from 1 species
GACAGAGAAGGCUUGGGGGAAUGGUGAGCGCAUAGAGGCUGAGGGAAAGAGUCCGAGGGCCAUAGAAACAAUGGUGAAUAGAGAGGGGCGGAGAUGCAGAGAGCCUCAGAUAUAGGAACAUAGGUACUAAGGGGCAUAGAGUCUCAGCAACAGAGAAGCCACGCGGGGCAUAGAGGCUGAGCUGCCUAGAGACACAGAGGCCAUUGGUGGGGACGGGGACAUAAAGGCUAAGUUCCUAGACACAGAGAUACGAAGGUAUAGAGGCCAAGAUUCUUAGAGACACCAAGGGGCUUAAAGGCUACCGGAGGGGCUAUAGAAGCUGAGGAAAAGAUAGCCCGAGGGCCAUAGAAACACAGGGACAUAGAAAUAGGGGGACAGAGAGAACACAGGGGAAUAGAGGCUGAGGCUGCAUAGAGAGACUGUCCAUGGGAAGGGCCGUAGAGGCCAAGGGGCCUAGACACAGAGACUCCAAUGGACAUAGAAGCAGACCUGUAUAAAGACGGAGAUGCUGCGGGGGUAGUGGGGCAUAGAGGCUGAGUGAAAGUGAUGCCGAGGGCCAUAGAGAUACAGAGGGCCAACAGAGAGGUUGAGGGGCAUACAGGCCAGGCUGCAUAGAGAUAGAGUGGCCACGGGGGUUGGGGAGGUGACAUAGAGGCUGAGGGAAAGAGAGCCCGAGGGCCAUAAAGAAAUAGGAACAGAGGCUGACAGGCAGAGGGGCAUAGAGGCUGAGCUGAAUAAAGACAGAGAUACCACUGAGGACAUAGAGGCUGAACUGCAUAGAGUCAGACAGGCCACAGUGGGGUGGAGGUGAGGGAUAGAGGCUUAACUGUAUAGAGACAGGCCACAGGGGACACAGGCUGAGCUUCAUAGAGACAGAGGGGCCAUGGGGGGCAUAAAGAUAGAGGGACAGAGAGGUUGAUGGGAAUAGUCUCACAGACAAAGAUGCAGAGGGUCUUAGAGACAGAGGCUAGGAGGGACAAAAAGGUGGAGGGACAGAGAGGUCGUGUCAUAUAGACUGAGCUCUAUAGAGACAGGCCUAGGAAAGGAAAGGGUGAGGGGCCCGAUAUGCUCAGGGCCAUAGAGAUAGAGGGACAGAGAGGCCAAGAGUUCUGACAGGCCUAAAGGAGGAGAGGCUGAGAGGCAUAAAGACAAAGGGACAAGGAGGUUCCAGGGGCAUAGAGGCCAAGCUGAAUAGAUACAGAGGUGCCAAAGGGCCGGAGAGGGUGAGGGCCAUAGAGGUAGAGGGGCAGGGAGGCCAAAGGGCAUACGACCUGAGGGAAAAAGAGAGGCCCAGGGACAUAGAGGCUGAGAGGCAUAAAGACAGGGUAGAAGGGGCAGGUGCAGAGGGGUUUAGAGACAGCAGCUGAGGAUAGGAGAGGCUGAGGGACAGAGAAGCUGUGGGACAUAGAGGUUCCUGGACAGAGAUGCAGAACAACCUAGAGAGACAGGCUAGGAGAGGCUGAGGGAAAGAGGCCAAGGGACAUAGUGGCUAAUGGACGUUGACGCGUGCAGUCUGGGGCUUGGGCCAGGGCCUCAGAGGAGUCAGAGUUGCAGUUUCUGGGAUCUGGGCUGUGGCUAUCAGUCCUCCUUCCGGGUGCUGUGUGUGAAGCAUUCCGUGUUCUCUUUGCCAUCAUUGUAUCGUUUAGCUUUCUGCUGACCUUGACUAUCCGUCUCCCCUGCCAACAGGCCCUGUCACAAAGAAUGACCCAUUGGCCCAACCCAAUUGGCACCUGAACAGAGACCAGAGUAAGGAGAAAAGGGUUCGGCAACAGUUCCCAAAUUAGGAGGCACCAUAUUUUCUCCAAUACAUUCGAGUAUAUUCUGGUCUCCUUGGUCUUUUGGCAGAGGAAGGUGAUGGUCCGUCUUGGGUUCCCGAGAGUCUUGUCAAACACUCCCAGAUCACAAAAGCGAUGGCUGCAUCACAGGCGCCAGAAGUUGAGGGUGCAGAAGAUGAUGAGUUUCAAGGCACAGCAGAGCCCAAAGCGUCCUAUCCAGUCUACCCAGAAGCGUCUGUUCCAGACUUGGAAACAGAUUAAACACUUUACUGCUGAAGGCAUUCAAGUGGUCAAGGCCAAAGGGCAACGUAUUUCUCCUACUCGCUUAGUUUCAGCAUUUCUGUCAUUAUUCUCUGUCCCGUUGGCAGAAAGUGUGGGGGUCUACUGGGCUUAGGUGCCUGAUCCUGCUUUGGCCCACCCAGUCACUUGGGAGGAUUCAGCAACUGGAGUGUUUACUAAUUAUAUAGUGGUUUUGACAGUCCUGAUAUUUCUCAUGUGCUGCCUUGCACUGUGCUCUCAUCCAUCGUUCCCAUUUGUCAUUGGUGAGUCACUAUGCAUGUGUCCCUCUAAUCCAAGUGAUCCAAAAAACUUGUCUUUGGGGUACAGGAGAGUUUUCUAAACAUCAUCAGUUCGCCCAUCAAUUUAGUUUUCCAGUCUCUAAUCAUUCACAAGUUACCCCAUUGGAUGGAUGUGUCCAAGUAUGCAAUGAGAAUCCUGUGCCCUGGUUUCCAGAAUGGAAUUCCCAUGCCAUGGUUCUAAAGAAUUCUGUGCCUCUGAAUGGAUGACCUAAGGUGCUUGUCGACUUGUCUUAGAGGUGGCCACCUGGCCUGGAUGAAGAUAACUUAGGUGCCCAGGGCCAUGUAGGAGGAAUGGCAAAUGGCUUUAGAACUCAUGGAAUUUGGCUCACAGGUUACCACAGUCACAUGGGUGAGCCUUGGUGUGGUAAAGCCCCAAGGACCACGUGCCCUGAGGACUUUAUGCUGUUACAGAGUUCUGCUCUGCUUGCUGCCCUCAUAUCCCUCUUCAUCUAAGAACUGUAUGAAAACUUUAAGGGGGCUUCCAGCCCCUCACUGGGCAGUAUCUCUGGCACUCACAGUACAAAUGUUUGGUCUCUUUCAGGCACUGCUGCUGGAGCAGAUUAAUGAUUCUAUCACCACCCUAGGAAAGAACUUAGAGAUGCAGAUUGUCAGCAGUUACCACGAUUCUUAGAAAACAUUUGGAAAAAUAAAGUUGUUGGUGAAACUAGGUUGAGAUAUUUUUGAUACUGGCUGAUAUAAAAUAAUCUUAGGAAACAAUCUGAAGUUCAGAAAGGCACACUCAUAUUAGUUAUGCUAGGGACCUAAAGGUCAGGGAACAAUGGCAGCACUGGCUGACGUGACUCUCACUGAGGCUGGACUGGUGGUAAUUGACUUCUUAUUCUCAGUUUUGCCCUCAGCUUCCUGAUACAGUAUAAGAAUUGCUGAUGAAUAGAUAUGUAUUUUAAGGAUUUAUGAUAGAUAUGACUGCUUUUCAUAUAAAAGUUUAGAUUUGUGAUUCUUUUAAGAUUCUCACAAUAUUACUUUAAAGAUAAAUAAUAAAAUAACUACUCUUUUCUUUGUAACCACAAAUUGCAUCCUGCCAGUAAGAGAAACUGGCUGAGCAAACUCCCUUGCUUACUCACACUUUGUUAAUCUAUAACAAGUUGCUUAGUUACGAAUGUAUGUGGCUUUGGGGGAAUAAUUUGUUUUCUUUACCUGUACUAUCUAAUGUUAUUUCUUGUAAAGGUAUUGGAAAACCCAUUGUAUUUUCAUAACCAUUUACUAGAAGAAAACUAAAACCUCAGCACAUUGUAAUUGUAUAUUGCUUGAAAGAUUUUGUUGGGAUGUAUAAGCUAUGGAAGAAAGAAUAAAGUAUGAGGG